UUGCAGACAUGAAGGUGGAAGUGAAAAACAAAGUUCGUUUUGUAAGAUCGAUGACGUUGAGCUGUGUUACAUUCUGUAUUGAAACAGUAACAGAGCAACUAUACUUAAGGUUCACGAGGAAUAUGUUCCCAUAUGCUUGGAGGCCCUUAAUGAUGGAACACCUGAUGUGAGGAAUGCAGCUUUCUCAGCUUUGGCGGCUAUUUCCAAGAUGGUUGGCAUGAGACCUUUGGAAAAGUCUCCAGAAAAAUCUGGAUGAUGUCAGAAAAAAGAAGUAUCUGAAAUGAUUGGGGGUCGACGGGGGAUCCUUAUGCUCUUCCAAAGUCAGGUGUUGUUCAACCUUCUAGAGCAGUUUUGACUACGAGGUAAAUUUUCUACGUAGAAAAUUUGUCCUCAUUAUUUUGGAAUGAGCUCAUUGCGAAGUACUACUAUGAUUUGACUAUAAUCUGAAAAAGAGAAGAGAUCAUGAAAUUUAUAAUCAUUUUCUUUUAUCUUCUGACAUACAAAUGGGACGAAAUUUAUUGGUAUCUUGGGGCCUAACGGGUAACUUUGAAACUACAUUCUAUGAUCUUAAAUGUUCAUGAUUUCUUUAGGCUGUUCAGUAGCCUUCGAUAUAGUUAUGUAUGAAAUCUUUGAUUACAUGGAGAGCUUAGUCCUUUUA